ACAGACACCCUCAAUGGUAUCAACAACGACCAAAGCACCGUCAGUGACACGAAGAGCGGCAGUAACCUCAGAAGAAAAGUCAACGUGACCGGGAGAGUCAAUCAAGUUAACCAAGAAGUCAGUACCAUCAGCAGGCUCCUUCAUAUCCUUCAUAUCAUCGUCAGUCAUUUCAGCAAACAAGGAAAUGGCAGUAGACUUGAUGGUAACACCACGCUCUUGUUCGUCAGCACGAGUAUCCAUGAAACGAGCAUCACCAGCCUUGGCAGCAGAAAUAAUACCGGCCUUUUGAACCAAAGAAUCAGUCAACGUAGACUUGCCGUGAUCG